GACGAACGCUGGCGGCGUGCCUAAUACAUGCAAGUAGAACGCUUAAGAGAGGAGCUUACUCUUCUUGGAUGAGUUGCGAGCGGGUGAGUAACGCGUAGGUAACCUGCCUUGUAGCGGGGGAUAACUAUUGGAAACGAUAGCUAAUACCGCAUAACAAUGGAUGACACAUGUCAUUUAUUUGAAAGGGGCAAUUGCUCCACUACAAGAUGGACCUGCGUUGUAUUAGCUAGUAGGUGAGGUAAUGGCUCACCUAGGCGACGAUACAUAGCCGACCUGAGAGGGGGAUCGGCCACACUGGGACUGAGACACGGCCCAGACUCCUACGGGAGGCAGCAGUAGGGAAUCUUCGGCAAUGGGGGCAACACUGACCGAGCAACGCCGCGUGAGUGAAGAAGGUUUUCGGAUCGUAAAGCUCGGUUGUAAGUCAAGAACGGGUGUGAGAGUGGAAAGUUCACACUGUGACGGUAGCUUACCAGAAAGGGACGGCUAACUACGUG
rnacentral:rRNA from 1 species